rnacentral:pre_miRNA from 1 species
GUUCACCUGUGUGUAAAUGGUGUUCAGCACCAAGGACAGUUGUGUUUACCUGUGUGAAUGGCAUUCAGCAACAUGGAAAGUUGUGUUAACCA